rnacentral:rRNA from 1 species
GUGGGGAAUAUUGGGCAAUGGGCGCAAGCCUGACCCAGCAACGCCGCGUGAAGGAAGAAGGCCCUCGGGUUGUAAACUUCUUUUAUCAGGGACGAAGAAGUGACGGUACCUGAUGAAUAAGCCACGGCUAACUACGUGCCAGCAGCCGCGGUAAUACGUAGGUGGCAAGCGUUAUCCGGAUUUACUGGGUGUAAAGGGCGUGUAGGCGGGGUCGCAAGUCAGAUGUGAAAUUCCAUGGCUUAACCAUGGACCUGCAUUUGAAACUGUGAUUCUUGAGUGAUGGAGAGGCAGGCGGAAUUCCGUGUGUAGCGGUGAAAUGCGUAGAUAUACGGAGGAACACCAGUGGCGAAGGCGGCCUGCUGGACAUUAACUGACGCUGAGGCGCGAAAGCGUGGGGAGCAAACAGG